UUUUCGAGGCCAAACUGGAAUGCUGGAGUUCUAAAUUCUGCGUAUCCCUUCUUGCAUGUGUCUUGUUGUCGACUUGCGCCAUCUUUCCCUGUGUUUCAGGCCUCACAAGAUUAAAACUUGGUAAGAAAGUAGACACGGAAGUGUGUCUCUGUCCAGUUCCACCUAAACUGUGCUGGCAGAAACUUUGGCUCCUGCUGCUUAGCUCCUUCAGCGACCUGCGAGUCUGUCUCACGAAAAGAUACCGACCGCCAUCUUGAAUUUCUAAGCACUAAACACGAAGAGAUGUGAGUUUCUCAAAAGAUGCUUCAGACCCUCUGAGCCCCUUUGUCUGCGUGGAACGGGUCUCUAGUCGCGGGUGGACAAAGCGUAGGAUGAGUGACAAACAGACGCACACAGGAGAGGUCGAGGAAUCUGAAUGUCAUUUUUCAAAUCGAGCAUCAGACUUUUUAUGCAGAAGACAAUAAGGAAGUUGGAUGACAUACCUGCAAGGUACAAAUGAGCUUUCCCAGAUAUCUCUGAAGAUACCAUUUUGAAUAGGACUCACAUCACUCACUGCCUUGGUAGGGUCAUCUUUGUUCCACAAGAGGAAAACUGUCCACGAGAGGACAUUUAUUUACUCAUUGCUCACCAGAGGCAGGCCUUUAUCAGCGGUGAUCUUUCUGAAAGCCACUGCCUUCUGCAUAGGGAACGGACUCCUGCAAGCCUAUUACCUGGUUUAUUGCGCGGAAUACCCUGAGGAGUGGUACAC
rnacentral:lncRNA from 1 species